ensembl:snoRNA SNORA74 Small nucleolar RNA SNORA74
CCCAGCUGUAGGCAGCUGCCUAGGUUGCUGUGUACCUAGGCAAGUGUUACGCUGCUGGGAGAAUAGCAGCCGUGAUAGCUGGUUGGCAUUCUGGGCCUGGUUCAUUCCAACUCUGUUGUUAACUAUACCAGGAUGCCAGCAUA